rnacentral:rRNA from 1 species
CAUCACUACGCUAGAUGCAUAUCAAUAAGCGGAGGAAAAGAAACUAACAAGGAUUCCCUUAGUAACGGCGAGUGAAGCGGGAAGAGCUCAAAUUUGAAAUCUUCAAGGUUCUACCUUGACGAAUUGUAGUUUAUAGAAGUGUUUUCUGUUAGUGGAGUGGCAAAAGUUCUUUGGAAUAGGACAUCAUAGAGGGUGAGAAUCCCGUAUUUGGUCAUUCCUCCUAAGCGUUGUGAUACACUUUCAACGAGUCGGAUUGUUUGGGAAUGCAGUCCAAAAUGGGUGGUAAAUUUCAUCUAAAGCUAAAUAUUGGCGAGAGACCGAUAGCGAACAAGUACCGUGAGGGAAAGAUGAAAAGAACUUUGAAAAGAGAGUUAAACAGUACGUGAAAUUGUCAAAAGGGAAGCGUUUGACACCAGUGUUGUUUUCUCGAAAAUCAAUUAAAAAUGAUGGGAUUUUGUGUUGUAUUGACUUUAUCAGCUUUCUGCACUUUUUUCUUAUCUUUUUUAAUGCACUUUUCGUUUAACAAGUCAACAUCAAUUUCUUUUGUUGUAAAGAGGUAUGAGGAAGGUGGCUUUUCUUUCGGAAAAGUGUUUAUAGCCUUGUACCUCUGCAAUCGGAGAGAUUGAGGUCUGCAGCGUAGAUCCUUCGGGGUUAGAUACAUUUGUGCUAAGUUAUAGCUUUUCAUAGACAACUUGUUGACUAUGUUUAGUCUUGUAGCUUACUCGCUUAUGCUAUUUUACCUACGCUUAGGAUGUUGAUCUACAGAGCGAGAGU